rnacentral:rRNA from 1 species
GAUGAACGCUGGCUACAGGCUUAACACAUGCAAGUCGAGGGGAAACGCCGGGGAAGCUUGCUUCCCCGGGCGUCGACCGGCGCACGGGUGAGUAACGCGUAUCCAACCUGCCUCUGACUGAGGGAUAACCCGUCGAAAGUCGGCCUAAUACCUCAUGGCAUCGUCUGCGGGCAUCCAACGACGAUUAAAGAUUUCAUCGGUCAGGGAUGGGGAUGCGUCUGAUUAGCUUGUUGGCGGGGUAACGGCCCACCAAGGCGACGAUCAGUAGGGGUUCUGAGAGGAAGGUCCCCCACAUUGGAACUGAGACACGGUCCAAACUCCUACGGGAGGCAGCAGUGAGGAAUAUUGGUCAAUGGGCGGGAGCCUGAACCAGCCAAGUAGCGUGCAGGAUGACGGCCCUAUGGGUUGUAAACUGCUUUUAUGCGGGGAUAAAGUGAGGGACGUGUCCCUCAUUGCAGGUACCGCAUGAAUAAGGACCGGCUAAUUCCGUG